rnacentral:rRNA from 1 species
AUGGUGGUGGACGCGCUUGCCGCCAUUCUAGAUAAGGCUAAGGCUGCCGGCCACAUUCAGGGAAUCACUCCCCACCUGGCUGGCGGCUCCGGGAUCUCCCUCCUCCAGUAUGCCGACGACACCAUUAUCAUGGUCACAGGCUCGGAGUCGGAUAUCGCCAACCUUAAGUUCCUCCUCCUCUGCUUCCAACAAAUGUUUGGCCUUAAGAUUAACUUCGACAAGAGUGAUGUGAUGGUGAUGGGCUACUCUCCGACCGAGUCGCUUGCCAUUGCCAACCGGCUUAACUGCCGCCUCGGUGCCUUUCCCACAACCUACCUGGGAACGCCCAUUAGCGACUCUCGGCUUACCGUUGCGGACCUGCGCCCGACCGUGACCAAGCUCCAGACGCGCAUCGAGCCUUGGCAGGGUAGAUGGCUGUCAAAGGCGGCUCAGACCAUUCUCAUUAACUCAUCCCUCUCCAGCCUCCUCCUGUUCCUCAUGAGCUUCUACAGCCUCCACGAGACCCUCCACCAUGAGAUUGCCAAAAUUCAGUCCCGCUUCUACUGGGCCGGCGAUAAUAAUAAA